UAGAGUUAUUGUAACAGAGGUGCAAA
rnacentral:piRNA from 1 species